UGUAAGGCAAGCGCUGAAGCUCAGUGAUGUGUGUAGUGCUGCAGGACCAUGUGGCUAGGGGCCAGAGAUUCUUGUCAACACAUCUGACUGAGUUACAGUGCAUACAAAGUUUAUCCUUUCCAGCCCUAAUCAAGUAGCUGCAUUCUGGAGCAGCUGUUGGAGUGGUACCCUAAACAGGACCAGACCUGCUGUCUGUGAAGCUGACUUUGCAGGGCUGGACUUGGCAGCAGCUAAGCUGGUGGCACUGACUUCACUGAACAAGAACCUGUCAACAGCAGAUUGGAUGGGACAUGGGCUCUUUGAAGAUGUAAAGCUGUGUAAAAAUUCUAAGUAUUAAUAAGCAAUGUCAGAGGAAAGCAGAGAAACAGAUGGAUGCUAAUGAGAGGAGAGAAGCUGACAUGAGCUUAAAAGAGGGAUGCAAACUGGGGACGUAUGUAGAGUGAGUCCCUGAGAAAUAUCCGUUUCAAAUAGCUUCGUAUAACGUACAGAACAGAACAUCCUCACCUGUGGUGAAUUAGCAGCACAUCCCUUGAGUGCUUUGGCCAUGCCACUUCUCUGGCCAUAUCUGCCCACUUUGGGGGCUGUAUUGGCCAGUGGCUCCUGGCCUCCUGUUGGAGCAGCAAUGAACAAAGCCCUCAGUAUGGAAUCUGAAAGCUAGGUUGGGUUCUUCUGCAUCUCUUACCAGUAAUAAAGAUUCCGAAAUGGGAAUUUAGGCCACAGCAGAAGCGGGAUCAGUACACUCAGGAAGAAAUUUUUUUAGUCUCAUGGGACUCCUCUAAACUAGUCCAGCUGCAACUAUGAAGGCAGACAACAUAUGGCAUGAACAGAGUCCUGUUCUUUAUUUUGUGUCUGAGUUUAAAAUAUCCAGAUAUACAGGCAAUAAUUUCCCUAUGCUUAGACAAGAUAAGUGGAUCUUCUUCUGUGUAUCCCAUUUCCCUGACUUCUUUCUUCCUUCUCUCCCAGUCAAAUAUAGUUUAAUAGACUUAUCAAUGAUCUUGUCAUGUAGAGUUCGGUUGCACAUGGAAUAUCUUGCUACAAUGAUUCUUCCUGUAUGUGAGGCAAAGAGACUUCCUUAAGUUUGAACUGUGGUUUGGAGAAGGUAUUAUAGGCAUAACCUUAAAUGUUCCUAUGAUUAACAUACCUGAAUUGCUGUAGGCUUUGCUUUCUUGUUUGUUGUCAAUUUCUCUAUUGUAGGGGUGCUGAAUAUUCUGAAUGAAGUAAAGAUAAAAGCUGCCUUCUGGUGCCACUGAUUUAUUUUGAAAGGAACUUUAGCUCUUCCUACUGUCAUAAAAAGAUGUCCUUGCUUGACCUGCUUAAAGCAACAUAACACUGAGACUGGAAUGGACAUGACAUCAGAUAGUCAGUAACACUAAGGAGCUGCUCCUGCUUUCGUUGCAAUCCAAUGGCAAAACUCCAGUAACAGAUAAAUGACAGCAGAGGGGGAUCUUCUGCAAUCAACCGUGCUGAAUAGUUCCUCUAAGUAACAUGUGGACAAGCAUACCGUGCAGGUUGCAAAUCUAGCAACUGCAACAUUUAGUGAUAGCACGUGCUGCAAAAGGUCAAAUUCUGCUCACCCUGGCGGUGCUCCUUAAGGCCACGAUCCUGCAAAGACUUGUUCAUGUGCUGAACAUUAUGCGGCAGGAGUAAUCCCACUGAAGUCACUUUCGUAAAGUGGUGACAUUGCACUUUGCAGUAUGAAAAAUUCAAUUUAUCAACUUCCACUGAAAGAAAAUUCCUGUUAUAAUAAAAUAUUGAUGACUGUGACAAAAGUAGCUUUCUGAGGUUUCAAAGACUCAUGCCU